AACGAACGCUGGCGGCAGGCCUAACACAUGCAAGUCGAACGCUCCAGCAAUGGAGAGUGGCAGACGGGUGAGUAACGCGUGGGAACCUUCCCUAUGGUUCGGAAUAGCUCAGGGAAACUUGAGGUAAUACCGGAUAAGCCCUUCGGGGAAGGAUUAUCGCCAUUGGAUGGCCCGCGUAGGAUUAGCUAGUUGGUGGGUGAUGGCCUACCAAGGCGACGAUCCGUAGCUGGUCUGAGAGGAUGAUCAGCCACACUGGGACUGAGACACGG
rnacentral:rRNA from 1 species